UAAUAUAUUAUAUAUUUAUUUAUAUAUAUAAUUAUUACUAAUAUUUUAUAUUAAUACUAUAUAUUCUAUACUAAUACUAUAAUUCAAUAUUAUUUAUUAUUAACUAUAACUAUAUAUUGAUACUAUUAUAUAUUUAUUAACAUUAUUAUUACUAUACUAUAUUAAUAUUAUUAAUUACAUAUUAUUACUAUUAAUACUAUUUAUAAUACAUUAUUAAUUAUAUAUUAUAACUAAAUAUUAUAUUAA
rnacentral:tRNA from 1 species